rnacentral:rRNA from 1 species
AGGAUGAACGCUAGCGGCAGGCUUAACACAUGCAAGUCGAGGGGCAGCACGUCUUCGGAUGGUGGCGACCGGCGCACGGGUGAGUAACGCGUAUGCAAUCUACCUUUUACUGGGGCAUAGCCCGGGGAAACCCGGAUUAAUAUCCCAUGGUACCAUUUUAUAGCAUUAUAUUUUGGUUAAAGCUUCGGCGGUAAAAGAUGAGCAUGCGUCCUAUUAGCUUGAUGGUAAGGUAACGGCUUACCAUGGCUUUGAUAGGUAGGGGUCCUGAGAGGGAGACCCCCACACUGGUACUGAGACACGGACCAGACUCCUACGGGAGCAGCAGUGAGGAAUAUUGGACAAUGGGCGAGAGCCUGAUCCAGCCAUGCCGCGUGCAAGG